GGUUCGGUAGCUCAGUCGGUAGAGCAGAGGACUGAAAAUCCUCGUGUCGGCGGUUCAAAUCCGUCCCGAACCACCA
rnacentral:tRNA from 1 species